rnacentral:lncRNA from 1 species
AAACUAAAACUUUUGUUCACCAGCUGCUCAGCUUUUCAGUCUGGGUCUGAGCUGAAACCUGCUGCAAGUCUGACGGUACCAAAUUACAUAUAUAUAUCUGUCAAAAUGAUGUAGGACCUAAAGUCUCUCUGUAAGUUGAUCCUUUUGACCCCAUGAUUAGGAGCUUCACAAUGUGGUACCACACCUGGAAACCUCCAGAACAAGAUCUCAAGGAAACACAGGAAAUUCCUGAAACAGCAAAACCCCCUACGUGAAGACGUCUGUUAUUCCUUUGUGUAUCAGGAGCAUCACUGUUAAUUAACUGUUGAUACACUUAAAACAGCUUGGUUGGCAAUGUCCUUUUUGAAUAAAGAAGAGCCAGGUGUGUUUUACAGGAUGAACUAGACAAUGCUGCCACAAGUUUACCUCUACGUCUUAUUGCCUUGGAAAAAUUUCCUGCAUAUCGUGGCACAAGAUGGUUGGCUCUCCAGGCAGCAGUUGGCGUUGUGAAUCAGUCAUCUCAGCAUGUGUCUCCAAGAUCCCACAGCAGGGGGAAAAAGAGGUGGAGGGUCACAUGCCUGGUGUUACAUACUUUGAGGCAGAGGUGGUAGGUGCCAUUUCUGCUCACAGCUCAUGGACCAGAACAAAGCCAUGCAUACCUGAGAGAGGACCAGAAAAUAUUCUGAAGCAGAGGGCUAUUUGGUGAGCAGUAAAUGUUUC